AUUUUAACCUUGGCAAACAUUUCUGGUUAUCUCCGUUAGUAUUGUGAAAAUAUUGGACUUAAUUUUGAGAUAGUAAUUUUAACUUGCAGUUGGCUGCUCAGAAAUAUUUUUUAUAUACUCUGUCAUGUGUCUAUAAUCUUGCUCAUGUAUGCCAUUAUCAGUUCUGGACAUGGGACAGCUUUUUUCUGCAUAUUUCCCUUUACUCAAUGAGAAAAACCUGUUUUCUUCAUCCACUGAUUUCCCAACCCUUCUGACUAUGCUAUACACUCCUUUCUGGGUAAUCUACAGGCUUCCUUUUCAUGUUCACUGAGUUUCAAGACAUCCCGUGAGUGUUUUUUACUCUCUUGCUAAGCCUCUGACUCAUAGUCUACAUGAUUGAUGAGAUACUAUUACACCCAAUGCUCAAGUGGCUUUGAUGAACUUGCAGAAAAAUUUGUUUACAAGUUUUACUUUAGCAAUGGUUUAAAAAAGACUUUGGAUAGAUGUCCACGUACUAAAGCAAAAGGGAGGAGAAACUUCCUUGAAUUAUUCGCCCAACUAAGAGAUGUCGCAUCAAGGCCUCUCGAGCCCCCAAGAGGCAGUUAUUCUUCAUUGGCUUCUUUGAUGAUAUCUUGGAGUAAUGCAUUUGGAAGACUUCUCGACCUAUAAUGUAAUGAUAUGAAGAUUCAGAGAAAGCCAUAAGCAGUCCCUGGGAGUCUACUAAUUGCCAACUCUGAAAUUCAUUAAGCCCUGAUUACAAAGAGAAGGAAUCCAAGGGGAAAAUUUAUGUCCAUGUGGAACACCUCUCGAACAAGACUAAAAGGCCUGAAUCCCCCCAACCAAAUUUAUAAGCCUAUAAACCUUAGUGUAAAUGGGCCUAUAAGUCCUAAAUUUUUAUGUGUAACUUUUAUUGAUAGGUAGCAAUACAUAUUCUACUUUUUAAAUUGAAAUACAAUUUCUGAAAAUUAAGCAAAUUGAAUUGCUAUGGUUUUCUCCUAGUGACCGGAUACACUGGAACUGCAGAGUGGCUUCAUAGAGAAUCAGUAUUUGUCAUCUUGGUCAUGGGAUCUGGAUAUGGGUCGACCUUGAAAUCUUGGGACCAGUAAUAUGGUUAACAAGUGGUUUGGCUUAAAUGCCCAUGAGGAUGAGGUUCUGUACUUCCCUCUUUUUGCAACAGGAUUUUCUGGUUCAUUUUGCACUUCAUAUGCACAUGAUUGAUCAUUUGCCCAUAGAUACCUGAAUGUGUUUACAUAGUUGUCCUCUCAAUUUACAUUCAUUACCACUCAGCUUUUACAAUUUUAACUUGGCAUCUAAAUUCUAUAUUAUUGCAACUAGCAGGCUUCCUGUUUUAAUGAGAAUUGGAGACAGACGCUCAUUCAGUGCAGAUGUGAGUCAGUUACCCGUAAUAACUGACCCUGAUAUCUUGCCCCCAUUCAAGGAUUUAAUGGCUGCAAGUGGGACGAGCUUCCCGAUGCUGUUGUCCAUGAUGCCAAGAAAGCACUUUCAAAAUCGACUGAUGACACGGCUGAUCAGGAUGCCUUGGCAAAUGUUUUUCGAGCUGCGGAGGCUGUUGAGCAGUUUGGUAGAGUCCUUGUAUCUCUGAGAAUGGAACUCGAUGAUGAAACUGGAAUUAGUGGCGAGGCUGUGUGUCCCUUGUCAAAUGAGCAUCAAAAGCUAGGCAUGCAGCAUAUAAGCGCUACGUGGCAUAUUUAGACUCUUUUGGGCCUGAUGAGACAUAUCUGAGAAAGAAGGUCGAGACAGAGCUGGGGACAAAGAUGAUACUCUAAAGAUUCGAUGUGGUGGCCUUGAUUCUGAAAGGGGGACGAUCACGGUUCUUGGGACAUCAGGACUUUCAGGAUCCUACAUUGAGCAAAGAGCUUGACUGUAUGGACAUACAUUCAGCGGUGGGCAUGCCUCUUUUCCUUGGGAAGAUAUCCUCUGCACCCUUUGUUGAGCAUCCAAAACUGCAGUGCUGUGUCCCUUGUCAAAUGAGCAUCAAAAGCUAUGCAUGCAGCAUAUAAGCGCUACGUGGCAUAUUUGGACUCUUUUGGGCCUGAUGAGACAUAUCUGAGAAAGAAGGUCGAGACAGAGCUGGGGACAAAGAUGAUGCAUCUAAAGAUGCGAUGUGGUGGCCUUGAUUCUGAAUGGGGGACGAUCACGGUUCUUGGGACGUCAGGACUUUCGGGAUCCUACUUUGAGCAAAGAGCUUGACUGUAUGGACAUACAUUCAGCGGUGGGCAUGCCUCUUUUCCUUGGGAAGAUAUCCUCUGCACCCUUUGUUGAGCAUCCAAAACUGCAGUGUAAUGCUUAGUUAAGAAGGUUGUUGAAACCAGAAAUCAUGUUUCUGAAUUACUACUUCAAUCUAAGGGAAAUUUGAGUGCCCUAUGAGCUGCUUUCACUUGAAUGAGAAACUAGCUUUUGUAUCUUGGCAGAGUAUGAAUAAUGAAUCACAAUUUUCUGGCAACCUUUUA